UCUGAUUUUACAUAUGAGAAAACCAAGGCUUAGAGAUUAAGGAAUUUGCCUGAGGUCCCCCACCUAGGACUCGGUGAGGCUGGGUUGCACGGAGAGGUCUGUGACUCCUGUGCUGGGCAUCCCUGGCAGGUCCGCUCAUGAUUGUGCCUGUACAAUGUCUCAGCACAAGAGAUGGCAUGCAAAUUGGGUAACUCCAAGUCGUGUUGGCCAUGGGGUGUGGGGUGGGUCUGAUGAAGGAUGCUGCUGCAGGGAGGUGCAGGCCAGCAUGCGAAGGGCUUGGGAUGCCUUGCUCACUGGAAUUGAGUCCUGAGAGUUGCAGAGAUCACAUAUGGAAGCUCAUCUUCUCCAUGAAGACCUCCUGGUGGCUGCAGCCUUCACUCGCCCCUGCUCCCUUCGUCUCCACGCAUGGUGCUUACUGUUUCCAGGGCAGCUUCAGCUGCGGCUAAAUUACAUACAAUUCGGUGCCUCACUGAAUACCGGCUUGUAUAGUUCUCUCACUGUUCACUGUGUGUGCACUGGUCUUUCAAGGAAAAGCCUCAACUUCUUUAAAGCAGAGAUGUUUCUGUAGAUUUCUUAAUAACCCUCCCCCCCCUUAGUGCUGAGCAUACAGGAAGAGUUCGGAAAAACACUUGUUGAUGGAAGGAGGGUUGUCAACAAAUGGUUUUUGGAUUGCAUUCCAUUGAUUUCUCUAAUAUCUCAAGUUUUUAGAAAUUUGACGUGUUUGAACCUGCUUUAAUUUUGCUUUUUGACACUCCCCAGCUUUGUGCUGUCCCCCAGAACUAGCUCUUUGGUUCGUUCAUGCCUGCUGCUUCCACUUUAGCUGCCGAGCCUGGCCUGUGAUUGCACUUCCUGCCUCCUGUCCUGCCCCAUCUGAGUAACAGGCUCAUUUUCUUCCAGACAUUUAAGGUGUAGUGACUGCAGGAUCAAAUCCAGCUGGAAGCCAGAGAGCAAGGAGGCCUUGGUGACACAUUGUGAAGAGUUUGCCCUGAGGAUAAAGGACAGAGCAGAGGAUGGAUCUUGGGGUGAAAGUCUAAUAGGGCACAGGUCUCAUGCUUCCACCAGCCCCUGUGCUCUGCGGGAGGAGACUCCACUCCAAAAACACAGCCUCGGGCUCUGGUUAGCUAAGCCCCAACCAGCAGAUUCUAUCCCCCUGGCCACAGUGCUUAGUUGAGGACACAUGACCAAUUCAGGCCAAUGAACCAAAAGAAAAAUUUUCUAGAGACUUUUGGAAAAGAAGAUAUCUUACUUCUGAGAGAGC
rnacentral:lncRNA from 1 species